rnacentral:rRNA from 1 species
GGGCCCACACAAGCGGCGGAGCAUGCGGAUUAAUUCGAUGCAACGCGAAGAACCUUACCAAGGCUUGACAUAUAGAGGAAAGUGCAGAAAUGCACUCCCCGCAAGGUCUCUAUACAGGUGGUGCAUGGUUGUCGUCAGCUCGUGUCGUGAGAUGUUCGGUUAAGUCCGGCAACGAGCGCAACCCACAUCUUUAGUUGCCAGCAUUUAGUUGGGCACUCUAAAGAAACUGCCCGUGAUAAGCGGGAGGAAGGUGUGGAUGACGUCAAGUCCUCAUGGCCCUUACGGGUUGGGCUACACACGUGCUACAAUGGUACUUACAAUGGGAUGCAAAGAGGUGACUCCAAGCUAAUCCCUAAAAUGUACCUCAGUUCGGAUUG